UACAGAGGGUGCGAGCGUUAAUCGGAAUUACUGGGCGUAAAGCGCGCGUAGGCGGCUUUGCAAGUCGGGUGUGAAAUCCCCAGGCUUAACCUGGGAACUGCGUCGGAUACUGGAUGGCUUGAAUUCGGGAGAGGGAUGCAGAAUUCCAGGUGUAGCGGUGAAAUGCGUAGAUAUCUGGAGGAAUACCGGUGGCGAAGGCGGCAUCCUGGACCGACAUUGACGCUGAGGCGCGAAAGCUAGGGGAGCGAACGGG
rnacentral:rRNA from 1 species